GUCCACGCCGUAAACGAUGAUAACUAGCUGUCCGGGUACUUGGUACUUGGGUGGCGCAGCUAACGCAUUAAGUUAUCCGCCUGGGGAGUACGGUCGCAAGAUUAAAACUCAAAGGAAUUGACGGGGGCCUGCACAAGCGGUGGAGCAUGUGGUUUAAUUCGAAGCAACGCGCAGAACCUUACCAGCGUUUGACAUCCCGCGCUAUCACAAGAGAUUGUGAGUUCCCUUCGGGGACGCGGUGACAGGUGCUGCAUGGCUGUCGU
rnacentral:rRNA from 1 species